rnacentral:lncRNA from 1 species
UCGGCCUCCCAAAGUGCUGGGAUUACAGGCGUGAGCCACUGUGCCCGGCCAGAAGUGAUUGCUUUCUAAAGGUAGAUUACUGGCCAGAGUUUUUGAGUUACAAGAGCCACUCCAGAGAUUUCUUUUAGAAAAACAGUCACCACUGGCAACACAUUUCAGUGACACAGAAUGGCUCACAAAACUUGCUUACUUAUGUAACAUAUUCAACCUGCUCAAUGAAGUCAAUCUGUUGUCACUUCAAGGGAGAAUGACAACGGUGUUCAAGUCAACAGAUAAAAGUGGCUGCAUUCAAAGCCAAACUAGUAUUAUGAGGGCAAUGCAUAAACAUUGGGAUUUCUGACAUGUUUCAAACAUUAGCAGAAAUCUUGAAACAGACUGAGCCAGGGCCUUCUUUCUCCCAGCUGGUACAUGGAUCACCUAUCUCAGCUUUUUAAAGAAUCUGAGCAUUAAUUCCCAACCAUAAAAAAACCCGAACUGGGAAGAAAUGGAUAGCGACCCACUUGUAAAUUGCCAGGUGAAUCAACUUUGUCCACACUAGAAGAGAAUCAACUGCUUGAGACUGCAAAUGACAGUGGUCUUAAAAGUAUGUUUGAGACAACUUCAAGUCUCCAUACAUUUUGGAUUAGAGUCAAGGCAGAAUAUCCUGAGAUUGCCACAAAAGCACUGAAAAGCCUGCUUCCAUUUCCAACAUCAUAUCUUUGUGAAGCAGGGUUUUCUGCAAUGAUAGCGACCAAAAUGAGAUUACAGAGUAGACUGGACAUAAUCAACAAACUUUGGGUGUCACUGACUCCCAACACUCCCAGAUGAGACCGUCUAGUUGUGGAAAACAAGCUCCGGGCUCCCACUGAUUCUACAUUAUGGUCUGUGGAGAAAUUGUCUUCCUCAAAACCAGACCCUGGUGCCAAAAAGGUUAGGGACUUCUGCUAUACACUCUGAAGUUAUCCUUCAAGAGCGAAAGAGAAAGACUUCCACAGACAAAAAUUGAAGGAUUUUUGUGGCCAGUAUAUCUGCUUUGCAAGAAAUGUUAAAAGCCUUCAGAGAGAAGGGAAAUGACACAGGUCAGAAACUCACAUCUAGACAAAGAAAGCAAGAGCAUCGGAAAAGGAAUAAGUGAAGGUGGAGUAGGAGGGAGCAUAACCUGGCGUGAACUGAAAGUCUAUAAAGAAGGAAGUGCACUUCUCAAGGAAGAGCACCCAAAGGGCAGGUACUCUUUUACAAUUUUCUUAUGUAAGUUGGAAAAAGCUUCUGCUAAUGUAGUAGGUAACCCUAAGCCUUUUGCUUUGCUGGCCAAAUAUUUUAAUUUUAUUCACCAUAUUCUAACUCCCCUUGCCUGGGGAGUUGGUGGGGGAAAGCACUUAUGAACCAAUCUAGAAAACUAAGCAGACAUCAUUCUCCUAUUUACCAAUUGUGUAUGAGCAAAUUUGCACCAUAGAAAUGUGUUUUGUAGCAAGACAAGCUGUAGUUGAAACUCUAUGUGAACUUAAUCAUAUAGAAAAACAAAAAUCUGAGGUCAGAUGUUUUAAUUUCUACAUUUAGUAACAUCUUUUCAACCUUUAUCUGCCUUCUCUGACUUUUAUACAACGGUUCCCUUUCUAUGGAAAAACACUUGCUUGCUUUCCUUUCUAGAACAACUCCCUCAGGCUCCUUCACAAGUUGUGCUCUUCUGCUACCUUCUAAAAUGCUGCUGUUUCCUGUUUCUAGUUCUGGAUCCCAUUUUCCUCUCAUUGCACAAAUCCUCCCUUGGAAUACCUGAUCAUGCCCAAGGCUUUAAUAACCACCCACCUAGACUGACAACACCUAAAUCUCUUAUCUCUGGCUCAGACCUGCACCCACAAAUAUUACCCUCAUUCUUCACUCAACCCCAAAUUUACAAUGUGUAAGUUUAACUCACUAUUUUUCUCCUCUAAACAGAUCCUUAACAUAGUAAUCUCUAUAAACCAAUCAAUUGUUGCUGUAUGAAAUUAGGCAAUCAUUCUCUCACCACAUUAAAUAUGUCAUUAAAUCUGGCCCAUUUUACCAUGGCUUGGUCAUACAGAUGUUUAAUCAACAGUCUUCUUCUCAUUCUGACCACUACAGAUAAAAUUCAAAUGUUCACAUAACUUUUGGACUAUUGAGACAGCUUCCUGACUGGUUUCCCUGCCUCCAAUAACAUCUACCUUAAAUCCAAUCUCUAUUAUGCCAUCAGAGUAACCAAACUAGGAUACUUUGGAGGUGAAAGAUGGCACUAUUAAUAAAUUUAUAAGCACAGCAGGCAUAAACUGGGCCAGCCCUAAGCAAACCUUUACACCUCAGGUCAUUGAUAUCACUCGGCCCUUGCUUACCUCUUCAACCACAUAUCUACCACUACCUUUCUCUCACAUUACAUUUCAUCCACACAGAAUAAUUUGUAGUUUUCCAAAUGCAUUAUAUUUCUCAUCAUUCCUUUAAGCUUCUCCAUAUGCCAUACACUAUGCCUCAAAACACUAUUCCUUCACCCCCUUCACCUGGCUCAAUUCAUUUAGUUCAUCAGGUUCUCAAACUAGAUUAUCACUUCCUACAGGAAGCCUGGCCAGGCUUUUGGAAGAUUAGCUUCUAUGUUCAUAGCUGGGGUUCCCACAGCACUUCAUACAUAAACCCUGUGCGAAUCAACACACUGCAACUAUCUCUUGUCUGUGUUCUCCAUUAGACUACACAUUCCUUGAGGGCAAAACCAGCUUCAUUCACAUUUCUAUUGCUACAGCAUAAAUGGAACCUUAUCCAUAGUUAAGAUAAACAAUUUUUAAGGAAAUGGAUAAAUAUAUUUUUUGGUAUACUCUCUCUGUAGGGUUUAAGUUCCAUAAAGGCAGAAACCAUUCUUUGCUUUUGUGUUCCCAGAAUUUAACACAUUAGAUGUUUAAUGUUUUGUUGAGGAGGCUCAUUUGCAAAGGUGGGAUUCAUUUUAUUAAAUGUUCAUUAGUACAGACUUGGUGGUGGAAACAAACCAAUUGAAGAAAAAAUAGAAAAAAAUGAUAUAAAUGGAAAGAAAAAGAAUAAAAUGGAAAGAAAAGAAAUGAUGCAACAAUGAAACUUAAUAAUAGUAACUAUUAUUUGGUUGAUCUUUCCAAGGUACACAUAUAUACAGAAAGAAGAGACCUCUUUCUUCUCCAAUUUAAGUAAAGAAAAAGGGUCCUUCAUAUUUGGUUUAUUCCACAAAGUCCUGUUAACCACAGAUGGAAAUUUAGGUAUAAAUGGAAAUACAAACUAUUCCUUGGCUCUACCAAUCUACCAUUAGAACUAUCCAGAAAGUUUGGAUUUUAGAAUAAAGACAUGGUUCUCAUUCUCUACCUAUGAGACUGAGUGAUAUCUACUUCUAAGGUCAUCUUAAUUGUAAGGUUAGUCAAAUUUUUAAUAAGAAAAUAGAAGUUACUUAUUAAGAGUAUGUUUUCCAUCUAUAAAUUCAUUUAAAAAUGUUACUUUUAUUUUACUGACUUAUUUACUCUAGAAUACACAUUAAUUUCAAUAAUUAUUAUUAAAAGCAUAAUUUUCUUUGUCUAGUGUCUAUAGAAUUAGGAUGAAUAUGUUAUGGAUCAGAAAAAUGUACCUAUACAAAAUGCUAUGCAUAAAAAAUUACAUCAUUCAAAGAUCCAAAGUUAAAAAAAUCCUUCGCUAAAGAAAUAUUUUAUUACUCUAUCUGCUGUUUCUUCUAACCCUCACCAUUUUAUUGGCUCUCUGUAUCUAUCCAUUGAUAGAAGUUUAUCUUAUAUAUUUAUCAUACCCAUUUAGUAUUAAGAUUUUCCUUGUAUUCUCUUUUACAAAUUGCUCUCAUCUUUUAAAAUCAGAUUUCUCAAUAAUAUUUCAAUUCCUCACAUACUUCAAAAUCCUACUAAUAUUUUUAACAACCCCUUUUACAUAUCCUUCCAAAUACUAAUAUUUUUAUUUGUCCUUGCACGCUGGCUUGGAGAGCCCUCUACUGGCCUGAUGCUGUGUCAAAAGAACAUUUGCUUCAUCCUUCAGAUACCUAUUUUUUACAUGCUUUCGAUAAUAUGAUAAUUAUAUAAUUAAAGCCUUUAUUCCGAAUGACAGAAUGUUAAAGAGAAAUUGAACAAUUCUACUAAAAUGCUGUUACCAAAGCAAGAUACACUACUUCCAUAGUAUAGAAAUACCAUUUUCAAAUAACUGUACAUUAUUCUCAGUACUCAUUAUAAAGCCUUGCUAUCAUGUGACAGAAGUCCAAGAUGAGACCAAAUUAUAACAUGAUGUAUUCAUAACUAAAGUAUAAAAGGCAAGUUGGAGUCUCUAUGUUAAAUGCCUCUGGCCUCAAGAAAAUCUGAUAGUUAUUUUCUCAUCAAUAUUUCCUGAUUUUAAUAUACCAAUGUCUCUAGUAUUUAUAAAUAUCACAUUUGAAGAUAUGAUGAAGGAAACAAUUCCACUUAACUUAAAAUCUAGGAAUAAAGGCCGUAAUGAAGAGAACAACAAUAACAACAUCCACAAAUAGAAGUAUAUACCACCACAAAGUUAUCAGGCCUCACUUUAGAUCCCAAUAAGUACGCCAACAGUCUUUUUCUUUGGGAAAUAAACCAAUAUAAAGUUUAUAUAAAAAUAAACAUGCAAACAAGUUUUAAAGGAAGCUCUUUUUAAAACUGAGUAAUAAUUAAGGAAAGUAGCCAUUCCAGUCAUAUAAAUUUUGUUAACGGGCCUCAUAGACUCUAUAUCUGUGUUCCAAUUAGACUAUACUCUCCUUAUGGGCAAAAUUAACCUCAUUUACAUUUCUAUUCAUAUGGCGUAGACACUGUCUUACCUACAGUGAAUACAAAUAAAUUUAGAAGGAAUAGACAAACUUGUUUUCCUAUAUGGUCUCUCCCUCUGUAAGUUUUGAGAUCCAUGAAAGCAGGAACUAUUUUUCACUUUUGUGACAUCAGAAUUUAACACAGUGGAUGUUAUGUCACUGUUUGGUUAAAUAGGCUCAUUUGUAAAGGUGAGAUUCAUUUAUAAAAUACUCAUUAGAAUCAGACCUCAUUGUAGAAAAAAUUACAUAGAGGAAAAGGAAAUAAUAAUAUAAACAAAAUAUUGAGACAAAAUUGGAAAAUUUAUUUUCAAAUUAAAUUAUAGACAAAAAGCUAAUUUCCUUUAUAUAUACAGGGCUCCAAAAAACAAUAAGCAAAAACCUACAACCUAACAUAAAAAAUGAUCAAAGGAUAUGAAAAGAAAUGUGAAUGGGCCCUUAAAUUUAUAAAAAGAAAUAUAACAUCACUCUUAAGAGAAAUACAUAUUAAAACCAUAUGACCAUAAGGAGAUAAAUCUCCCCUUUCUUUUAUAUAGACCUACUAGAAGGGCAAAAAUCCAAGUUUAAUAACACACUCUGUUAGCAUGGCUGGGAGUUGGGGAGUGGGACGGUGAGAGUUCUUAUACACUGCUCUCCUAAAGAGCAAUUUGACAGUAUCAGUAAAAAUCACAAACUCAAUACCUAGAAAUUUCACUUCUGGAAAUGUAACUUACAAGAAUAUCUGCAUAUGAGCAAAACAGUAUUUAUAAAAGGUUAUUCUUUACAGCAUCAUUUACAAUAACCCUAAACUGAAAACAACUCAAAUUUUGAUGAGUAGGGGGCAGGUAGAAUAAAUUAUGCUAUCUCCAUAAAACAGAAGAUCGUGUAACUGCAAAAGCAAGGGAAAGGGGUGUUAUCUAGGUAAUGAUAGAGAAAUAAUCACUGUGUGUUAUAUAAUUGUAUAUAACAUUUAAAAAAAAGCAAGGUGCCAGAUAAUGUACAUAUUCUUAUAUUUUUUUAAAUGCAGAAGAAGGAUAAAACACACUUAUAUCUGCUUGUGAUAUGCAUCAACUCUGGAAGGGAUACACCAGAAACUGACAACAGUAGUUCCUGUAUGUGUGUGGAGAGGGGUGUGCAAUCUGGACAGAUGGAAGGCUGUAGUUGGACACUCUUUGCCACACAUAUAAAUAAAUAUAAAUCAUGUGAAUACAUUAUUAAGUUGAUUUAAAAUGUCCUUAUAUUACAAGGUAAGUAUAUUAUUAACACAAGCUUUACUACUAAAACAGCUACAAAAUCCUCUG